AAGGAGUCUAACAUGUGUGCGAGUAUUUGGGUGGCAAGCCCUUAUGCGCAAUGAAAGUGAAGCGAGGGAGCCGGAAAUUCUGGCGCACCUUGUGCCGAUCUUGAUAUCUCUUGAUGGAUUUGAGUAGGAGCACAAAUGUUGGGACCCGAAAGAUGGUGAACUAUGCCUGAAUAGGGCGAAGCCAGAGGAAACUCUGGUGGAGGCUCGUAGCCGUUCUGACGUGCAAAUCGAUGGUCAAAUUUGGGUAUAGGGGCGAAAGACUAAUCGAACCAUCUAGUAGCUGGUUCCUUC
rnacentral:misc_RNA from 1 species